rnacentral:rRNA from 1 species
GUGGGGAAUCUUGGACAAUGGGCGCAAGCCUGAUCCAGCCAUGCCGCGUGAGUGAUGAAGGCCUUAGGGUUGUAAAACUCUUUCGCCGAGGACGAUAAUGACGGUACUCGGAGAAGAAGCUCCGGCUAACUUCGUGCCAGCAGCCGCGGUAAUACGAAGGGGGCUAGCGUUGUUCGGAUUUACUGGGCGUAAAGCGCGUGUAGGCGGAUUUGUAAGUUGGGGGUGAAAUCCCGAGGCUCAACCUCGGAACUGCCUCCAAAACUACAAGUCUGGACCUAAGUAGAGGCAAGUGGAAUUGCGAGUGUAGAGGUGAAAUUCGUAGAUAUUCGCAGGAACACCAGUGGCGAAGGCGACUUGCUGGACUUAUGGUGACGCUGAGACGCGAAAGCGUGGGGAGCAAACAGGAUUAGAUACCCGGGUAGUCC